UACGAAGGGGGCUAGCGUUGCUCGGAAUCACUGGGCGUAAAGGGUGCGUAGGCGGGUCUUUAAGUCAGGGGUGAAAUCCUGGAGCUCAACUCCAGAACUGCCUUUGAUACUGAAGAUCUUGAGUUCGGGAGAGGUGAGUGGAACUGCGAGUGUAGAGGUGAAAUUCGUAGAUAUUCGCAAGAACACCAGUGGCGAAGGCGGCUCACUGGCCCGAUACUGACGCUGAGGCACGAAAGCGUGGGGAAGCAAACAG
rnacentral:rRNA from 1 species